GGAGUUUGGACCGUGUCUCAGUUCCAAUGUGGGGGACCUUCCUCUCAGAACCCCUACUGAUCGUCGGCUAGGUGGGCCGUUACCCCGCCUACUACCUAAUCAGACGCAUCCCCAUCCAUCACCAAUGAAUCUUUACUCCUCGUUAGAUGUCUGCAAAGGAGACCAUCAGGUAUUAAUUCGCCUUUCGGCGGGCUAUCCCUGAGUGAUGGGAAGGUUGGAUACGCGUUACUCACCCGUGCGCCGGUCGCCAUCUAUCAAAGCAAGCUUCGAUAAUGCUGCCCCUCGACUUGCAUGUGUUAAGCCUGUAGCUAGCGUUCAUC
rnacentral:rRNA from 1 species